rnacentral:rRNA from 1 species
CUUAACACAUGCAAGUCGAGGGGCAGCAUGGUCUUAGCUUGCUAAGGCUGAUGGCGACCGGCGCACGGGUGAGUAACACGUAUCCAACCUGCCGUCUACUCUUGGCCAGCCUUCUGAAAGGAAGAUAAUCCAGGAUGGCAUCAUGAGUUCACAUGUCCGCAUGAUUAAAGGUAUUUUCCGGUAGACGAUGGGGAUGCGUUCCAUUAGAUAGUAGGCGGGGUAACGGCCCACCUAGUCAACGAUGGAUAGGGGUUCUGAGAGGAAGGUCCCCCACAUUGGAACUGAGACACGGUCCAAACUCCUACGGGAGGCAGCAGUGAGGAAUAUUGGUCAAUGGGCGAUGGCCUGAACCAGCCAAGUAGCGUGAAGGAUGACUGCCCUAUGGGUUGUAAACUUCUUUUAUAAAGGAAUAAAGUCGGGUAUGCAUACCCGUUUGCAUGUACUUUAUGAAUAAGGAUCGGCUAACUCCGUGCCAGCAGCCGCGGUAAUACGGAGGAUCCGAGCGUUAUCCGGAUUUAUUGGGUUUAAAGGGAGCGUAGAUGGAUGUUUAAGUCAGUUGUGAAAGUUUGCGGCUCAACCGUAAAAUUGCAGUUGAUACUGGAUGUCU